AGAACGAACGCUGGCGGCAUGCCUAACACAUGCAAGUCGAACGAGACCUUCGGGUCUAGUGGCGCACGGGUGCGUAACGCGUGGGAAUCUGCCCUUAGGUUCGGAAUAACUCAGAGAAAUUUGAGCUAAUACCGGAUGAUGACGUAAGUCCAAAGAUUUAUCGCCUAGGGAUGAGCCCGCGUAAGAUUAGGUAGUUGGUGGGGUAAAAGCCUACCAAGCCGACGAUCUUUAGCU
rnacentral:rRNA from 1 species